UAAAGCAGCUGCAGCAGUGCUGAGAUCUAAAUCGCUCCUCCAGGAGACAAUCUUCAGGCCUUGAAAAUAAACCCAGAAGGCACCAGAAUGCUGUCUGUGUUCUUUGGCAAGAAAGACGAGCUCAAGAAAGGAGAACUGAUAAGGUCCACCCAGACCCUCCACCACUAUGUGCACAAAUACUUCAAGAUCACCAACAGGCUUUUAGAGAUACUCGACACUCACCUGAAUCAAAGCCCUUCCCCUGCAGUGGAAGCAAAUGAGAGUGAAAGCAUUGAGAAAAACUGCACCAGGAUUGUCUUCCCUGGAGUGUCACUGAAGGACAAGGCUGCAAUGAUAAAGGAUCUGCAUCAGAAGACCAUGGGACUCUUGGGGAAUGUCUACGGCCCUGUAGUCGCUGUUCGACUGGCAAACAGUGAUCUGGGGCGGGUGAUGCCUCCAGUGGAACAGAAUGAAUUUCAGCUUGUUCUGUCAUUUGCUCUGGGGGAUCUACUACAGAGCAGUGCAAGAAUCACUGAGCUUCUGUGUAGAUCAAGAGAAAAGAGCCUGGAUGAAGCCAUACAGUUGGUGGAAGAUGUACUGUCCGUUCUGAAGACGCCCUGCGACUCCUACAAUGACAUUCUGUGUGAAGUGGAAGCCUACAUCACCAUCUUAUCUGAAAACAUGUAGAGCUAACUCAUGAAGACACGCUUCUCUCAGAGAGCACAGUAAAGUUUGUGUUGAUAAAUCAUUGCAAUUUUCCUCCAGUAGUGUUUUCAUUAUUUCAACCUUUCAUUAUUUUAUAGAUUUAGUUUAUCUUAUAAUUAUACGCCACUAUUAAUUCAGCUCACUUCGACUGAGAACAUCCCAAGGUUGUCAUUUAGUCAAAUUGUGUGGUCUAUAAGUUUACAAUUAAUGACAGAAAUUAACUAUUCAAUAUUUUGAAUAUAUUAAGUAAAUAUCUACAAACAAUAAAUUCCCUGAUAUUUGUAAGAAAAAUGUAGCUGAUUUAUCACAAGUUAUUCCUCAUCAUUAACAUUUCUGGCUCUCUAUACAUCUAUAAACUGAGAGGCCACUAUAAUACAUGGAUAUAUUCAGGAUUGAAUGUUACCUCAUAAUAGUUACUUGUUACUUCAGUGGAAAAUAUGGAAAUACAGAAAUAGGUUUCUGCAAAAUUCUCUAAAUGAUGACGGUAGUUAAUACAACUAUUUAUGUGUGUCAGGUGUUGCUGUGGUAAAGAACUCAUGACAAAGAGAAUACAGAAUCAAAAGUAUAAUAUAUAUAUAUAUAUAUAUAUAUAUAUAUAUAUAUAUAUAUAUAUAUAUAUAUAUAUAUAUAUAUAUAUAUAUAUAUUUCUUACAAAUAAAAAAGUAAUGUCCAUAUACCACAGUAUUUGUACAGUUCCCGGAUAAUACAAAUCAUAUAAGUAGAUUAUAACUGUAUUUAAGCAGAAAUGAUUAAUACCAUUAAAGCAAUCAUUACAAGCAUCUUACAUAAUAGAUAAUCAAAUAUUUUACUGUCUUACGCCACUGGUAUUUUUUGUUAAGUUGUUAUAUGAAGCUCUUAGAAAACCAAAAGUUUAAGUACUGAUAUAGAUGUACAGACAAUUACUGUACUGUACACUCUAUUAAAACAAUAUUCAUAUUAAAACAAUUAAAUUACUACAAAAAACAUGCAAAAGAUGUGCCACUGUGCAUCUUUUCUUCCCUUUCAAUAAUUUUUGAACAAAAAAGCAAAAUUAAAGUGUAUUUAAAACACUACCCCAAGCAGUACAAGUCUCUACUUCUAGUGCUUCCUGUACAUAUUAUUCACUAAGCUUAAAGGGUAAGUUCACCCAAAAAUGAAAAAUCUGUCAUUAAUUACUCAGCCUCAUGUUGUUCCAAACUUGUAAGACCUCCAUGCAUCUUUGGAACACAAAAUAAGAUAUUUUUGAUGAAUUCUGAGUAAUUCGUGACAGAAUUUUCAUGUUUGGGUGAACUAACUGUUUAAACCAAUACUACACAAUGAGAAAGAGAAUAAUCUGAAUAAUUACCACAGGGAAGUGUUUAUAUCACAGGGAACCUUCUUAUAAAUGUGCGUCACCAUUGUGUGCUUGAGUUGGUUCUAGUUGUAAUCAAGUCAAGUCAGGUCAAGUCACCUUUAUUUAUAUAGCUCUUUAAACAAAAUACAUUGUGUCAAAGCAACUGAACAACAUUCAUUAGGAAAACAGUGUCUCAAUAAUGCAAAAUGAUAGUUAAAGGCAGUUCAUCAUUGAAUUCAGUUAUGUCAUCUCUGUUCAGUUUAAAUAGUGUCUGUGCAUUUAUUUGCAAUCAAGUCAAUGAUAUCGCUGUAGAUGAAGUGACCCCAACUAAGCAAGCCAGAGGCGACAGCGGCAAGGAACCGAAACUCCAUCGGUGACAGAAUGGAGAAAAAAACCUUGGGAGAAACCAGGCUCAGUUGGGGUCAGUUCUCCUCUGACCAGACGAAACCAGCAGUCCUCUGUAAUGCUGUUUUUGAG
rnacentral:lncRNA from 1 species